GAGUUUGAUCAUGGUUCAGGAUGAACGCUAGCGGCAGGCUUAACACAUGCAAGUCGAGGGGCAGCACGGGUAGCAAUACCUGGUGGCGACCGGCGGAAGGGUGCGUAACGCGUGAGCAACAUGCCCUAUACAGGGGAAUAAACCAGGGAAACUUGGUCUAAUGCCCCAUAGCAAUAAGAUAAGGCAUCUUAUUUUAUUUAAAGCUUCGGUGGUAUAGGAUUGGCUCGCGUGACAUUAGCUGGAUGGUGGGGUAACGGCCCACCAUGGCGAUGAUGUCUAGGGGUUCUGAGAGGAAGACCCCCCACACUGGGACUGAGACACGGCCCAGACUCCUACGGGAGGCAGCAGUGAGGAAUAUUGGACAAUGGAUGGAAAUCUGAUCCAGCCAUGCCGCGUGCAGGAAGACGGCCCUAUGGGUUGUAAACUGCUUUUCUACGGGAGCAAUAAGGUCUACGCGUAGACUGAUGAGAGUACCGUAGGAAUAAGCAUCGGCUAACUCCGUGCCAGCAGCCGCGGUAAUACGGAGGAUGCGAGCGUUAUCCGGAUUUAUUGGGUUUAAAGGGUGCGUAGGCGGCUUUUUAAGUCAGCGGUGAAAUUUUGCAGCUUAACUGUAACAGUGCCGUUGAUACUGGGGAGCUAGGAUUUGGUUGCUGUGGGUGGAAUGUGUGGUGUAGCGGUGAAAUGCUUAGAGAUCACACAGAAUAUCGAUUGCGAAGGCAGCUCACAAAGCCAAGAUUGACGCUGAGGCACGA
rnacentral:rRNA from 1 species